rnacentral:rRNA from 1 species
GACGAACGCUGGCGGCGCGCUUAACACAUGCAAGUCGAACGGAAAGGCCUGCUUUCCCUUGUGGAUUGCGGGUACUCGAGUGGCGAACGGGUGAGUAACACGUGAGUGAUCUGCCCCCAACUUGGGUAUAAGCCUGGGAAACUGGGUCUAAUUCCCGAUAGGACUGCAGGGUGGUGCCUGUGGUGGAAAACGAUUUUCUAGUGGUUGGGGAUGAGCUCGCGGCCUAUCAGCUUGUUGGUGGGGUAAUGGCCUACCAAGGCGGCGACGGGUAGCCGGCCUGGGAGGGUGGACGGCCACAUUGGGACUGAGAUACGGCCCAGACUCCUACGGGAGGCAGCAGUGGGGAAUAUUGCACAAUGGGCGGAAGCCUGAUGCAGCGACGCCGCGUGGGGGAUGACGGCCUUCGGGUUGUAAACUCCUUUCGACCGCGAGGAAGCCACCUGGUUGGAAGGGUGGUGACGGUAGUGGUAGAAGAAGCACCGGCUAACUACGCG